CAUAGUGAUCCGGUGGUUCUGAAUGGAAGGGCCAUCGCUCAACGGAUAAAAGGUACUCCGGGGAUAACAGGCUGAUACCGCCCAAGAGUUCAUAUCGACGGCGGUGUUUGGCACCUCGAUGUCGGCUCAUCACAUCCUGGGGCUGAAGUAGGUCCCAAGGGUAUGGCUGUUCGCCAUUUAAAGUGGUACGCGAGCUGGGUUUAGAACGUCGUGAGACAGUUCGGUCCCUAUCUGCCGUGGGCGCUGGAGAACUGAGGGGGGCUGCUCCUAGUACGAGAGGACCGGAGUGGACGCAUCACUGGUGUUCGGGUUGUCAUGCCAAUGGCACUGCCCGGUAGCUAAAUGCGGAAGAGAUAAGUGCUGAAAGCAUCUAAGCACGAAACUUGCC
rnacentral:rRNA from 1 species